AAAGUACCAAAACUACUUAAUUAAGCUAAAGUUGUUUUGGUGCUGUUAGUAUAACUUUAACAGCAGGAAAGAGCAUUAAACACUGGCUUUCCAAAGACAAGCAAGUCUUUGGACAGUACUAAUACUUGAAGUAAGAACCCUUAAUGUGACACUUACAUGGCCUCAGGGCUUGGGUUUAUUGUGAUAACCUCUAAGAUGGCUUUUGGAUUGUGGAGUCCUAGUCAGUAUUAUUUGUAUUCUCUAUUGGGUAAUAUGUCAUGUGUAAGAGAACAGAAAUGUGGGGCACAUGCAAUAUAACACAGAUAUCCAACAAUAGUAUACAGGCAGCAACUUUGAUCACACAAGCAAGCUCUAGUGGAUAUGGUGCCUGGAGUGUUUAUUUAAUACAAUAUGCUCAAUAAAGACAUAAAACAACUCCGAUCACAUUUUAUUUCAAAGUAACAUACAGAUGGUUAGCAAAUAUUUCUCACCCCUCCAUAUUCAAGAAUACAGCAGCAUAGGUAUAUUUUCAUAGAAAUUCAAUUUGCCAUUAAUGCAGAUUAAUAAGAUUAACUGGUACAGUACAUUGUCACUUCUCCACUCCUUCAUUGUUGACUUAUGAAACUUUGCUCCUAAGAUUAGGCACUAACUGUGGGUGAUGUCAUCAACAUGGUAAUAAAUGCUUAAAACGGACUGAUGCUGUAUUUAAGCUAAAAAUAAAGAUUAGUACACAC